CAUGCGGAGCAUCCAGAACAGUAACCAGAGGUUUCGUUCAUCAGAUUGAACAUGGCGGGUCUUUACAUGCAAGUCAGGCAGCAGCACGGACUUACGGUCUGGUGGCAGUGGCGAACGGUGGUAAUGUAUCGGAACUGAUGCCUAAGUAACGGGGAUAACUACGCGAAAGCGUAGCUAAUACCACAUACGCCCUUCGGGGAAAGCGGGGACCUCCAGGCCUCUUUUCGUCCGAAGCGACCGAUAUCGGAUUAGCUGGUUGGUGGUGCUGGCUCACCAAGGCGACGAUCCGUAGCUGGUUUAGAGGGACGACCAGCCACGCUGGGACGAGACGGCACGGCCCAGACUCACCUGGGAGGCAGCAGUGGGGAAUUUGGACAAUGGGGAAACCUGAUCCAGCCAUCCCGCGUGUGCAGUGAGAGGCCUUCAGGUUGUAAACUUUCUUUGGCGGGAAAGAAACAGCACGGGAUAAUGCCCGUGCAGCGGCAGAAAUACUGCUGCGAAUGUGGCACCGGCUAACUACGUGCCAGCAGCCGCGGUAAUACGUAAGUGCAAACCAAUCAGAAUUACUGGGCGUAAAGCGUACGCAGGCGGUUCGGAAAGAAAGAUGUGAAAUCCCAGAGCUUAACUUUGGAACUGCAUUUUGCUUUACCGAGCUAGAGUGUGUCAGGGGAGGUGGAAUUCCACGCGUGUAGCAGUGAAAUAAAAAUGUAGAUAUGCGGAGAGACACGAUGGCGAAGGCAGCUCUGGAUGCUGCUGACAUCAUGCACGAAAAGCGAUGGGGAGCCGUAGGAUUAGAUGCCCACUGUUGGUCACGCCCUAAACGAUGUCAACUAGCUGUUGGGGCCUUCCGGGCCUUGGUAGCGCAAUAGCGAUGAAGUUGACCGCCUGGGGAGUCUACCGGUCGCAAGAUUAAAACUCAAAGGAAUUGGGCAGGAUUCACACAAGCAGUGGAUGAUGUGGAUUAAUUCGAUGCAACGCGAACCUUGCCUGCCCUUGACGUGUCUGGAAUCCGAGAUUUGGGAGUGCUCGCAAGAGAACGGAACUUACAGGUGCUGCAUGGCUGUCGUCAGCUCGUGUCGUGAGGUCGUUGGGUUUAAGUCCGCAACGAGCGCAACCCUUGUCAUUAGUUGCUACGAAAGGGCACUCUAAUGGGGACUGCCGGUGACAAACCGGAGGAGGUGGGGGAUGACGUCAAGUCCUCAUGGCCCUUAUGGGUAGGGCUUUGCGUCUUUACAAUGGUCAGGACAGAGGGUCGCCAACCCGCGAGGGGGAGCCAAUCCCAGAAACCCGAUCGUAGUCCGGAUCACCCAGUCUGCAACUCGACGGCGACGAAGUCGGAAUCGCUAAUCGCAGCGAUCAGCAUGUCGCGGUGAAUACGUUCGGGUCUUGCUUCUGCACCGCUCGUCACACCAUGGAGUGGGUUUUACCAGAAGUAGUUAGCCUAACCGUAAGGAGGCGAUUACCACAGUAGGAUUCAUGGCUAGAGGUGAAGUCGUAACAAAAUUA
rnacentral:rRNA from 1 species